GUCUCCAGGCGCCGCUGUCCCCACCAGCCACACUGGGCCUCCGGACAGAGCCUCCCUUUCCAACCCUGGAGGAAGAAGUUCUGAGGAGGCCACGGCAAGUUGGACUCGCCCCGUCCCCGUCCUCACCGCCCUGCCCGGAGGUGACUGGGACUGUUCCUGACCCGAGAGUUCCGCCCAGCGAGAUGCGUGUGAGGAGGGGGUGUGGACGCUGCAGACACAGCCCGAUCGCGGCACUGCAGGGUUCUGGGACCCUGCCUCCACCAGGAAGCCUCCCUAGAUUGCCCAGCCCUGCUUCGGUGCCGUCCAGCACAGUGGAGACCCCAGGAAUGCUGGAGGCGGGGGCUCGGGAACUUGAGCGCGGCUGUGCCCACGGCUGGAUGUGGUUAGACACCUCUUUGAGACCUGCAGCCACCACCUCACCCCAUAAGGCGGUUCCUCCUUUCCCAGGGUAAAUGACGGGAAUUAGCUGUUUGUGACACCCCGGAGUUCUCAGAUCCAAGAUGGAGGAGCCCGCCUUGGACAGGCCGUCUUCAGACGCUGCAGAAAAGGAAGGGGUCUCUGCGGCUCCAGGCUGCCCGGACACUCAGACGGAGGGGGUGGGGCCAGCUGGGCCUGGGGGCCUUUGAGGGGCCUGGAGAUCUUCAUUCCGCCCCUAGGCUAGGAGGGGCUCUGGGCCCCUGGAUAGAAAGAGGUGCCGUCAGACCCGGACGGCAGGCGAAGGUGCUCAGGGAGGAGACCCCGGGCAGGCUGGGCUGCGCCCCUGCCCGUUUCAAAACCCCGAGAGGUCUGCACCAGCUUGGGCUCACCCCCAAUCCUGGCGAGUGCCGGUAGAUGGCAGCCCGAGAAGACACAAUGCGUCCCCUGUAAAUAACGCUCAUCAGUCCCAAAAAAUUAAAUAAAUGUCCAUCAACCACA